UUGGAGUUUUCUGCAGAAGGAAGUAGUGACUCUGUCACGUCACAUGCAUGUCUUUUUAGAUCUCCGAAUAGAACCCCGCUCCAAAGUGGAUAGAUCCCCAGGUAAUUGUCCAGAAGGAACUUGAUUACAUCUGGACAAUAAUAAGGAUUUUCAACACUCUGAUGAUGUUCUUCAUUUUCCAAGACAACCAUGACAUCAUCAUAGAUCUUCUUGAAAAGUUUGGAAAAUGGAGAACCACCAACAAUUGUUUUUGAUAAAUUUUCAUCCAUCUCCCACUUUUCUGAGUCAUCUUCUGUUCGGUCUUGAAGAAUAGCAUCUUCUUUUGUAAUGAGGCCAUCCAAGAAUUCAAGACUCUCUGUGACAUUUUUACUGACAUGUCUUGCGAGGAAAACAAUGCAGAAUGGUCUGAAAAUGGCAAGGGCAUCAUCCAGAUUAACAGUGUUUUUUAUCCUGGCAAAUACAUAUGUUGCCAUCUUUUGCAGCCCUUUAUCGUCUGUCUUCCUUUGAAAAGCUGAAGACACAGCUUUAAUGAUAUGAGCUGUUGCCGAUUUUAUAUCUGCCCAGGUUUUUUGUUUUUGGCAGAUGGCAUACACCCUAUUAAAUUUCUUUAUUAAAUGCCAAAAUAACUCCCUGCAUAAGAGCCCAGCUGUAAUCGGUCUCCACCUGGUGAAUUUGUUGAUUGGUGUAUUUUGACAGUUUGAGGAGAAACUGCAUUAGCCAGAAAGUUAUAGGAGGAAUGGAAUGCUCGCUUGAUAUCAUCUCGCAUACUGGAAGUGGAGGUGCAUCUCUUCCUUUACCUGGCAAGGCUGUGAGUGAUGUUACCAGCAAGAAGUUCCUGAAUGGGUGUAAGAUGUUUCCAGUCCGGCACACAGUUAAAGGAAUAACUGUUUGAUGUUUGGCUGGUUUGGUCUUCAUGGUGAAGGAAUACCUUGCACGGCAUGUUGAAAAUGUACAUUUUGCACAUAUUUUUAAGUACACACACAUACGCUUCCGGCUUCCUAUUGCUCGGACAUGCUGGUAUGUAAAGCGGAGGGGACAACAAGGAUUUUUUUCUUGAACUGAUUGUACAAGUAGUGGGUCCAUGGUUUUCUUAGUUUAUUGGAACAUUUCAAAGGGCAAAUUUUGUUCCAUACCUUUGAAUGAAGAAAAACUUUAAAUUUAGUUGGUGUUUGUGGCACAUGUCUAUAAGUUUGGUCCCCUGUUUUUGAUUCUGUCUUUUUUUCUGGAUUCUUUUUUAGUUCAUGGAUUGAGUUACUGUGGUUGUCAAUUGUUGGAGGAACCUCUAUCACCUCAAAGUUGUCACACUCAGUGUCUGUCUGUCCCCAGUCAUUGAUCUCCUCAGACUCCUCUCUAUCCAUUUCUGUUUCAUCUUUUUCCAAAUUCUCUGUCCGCAUACUUUUGGUUUCAUUUUCCUGUUUC